UCGUAACAAGGUUUCCGUAGGUGAACCUGCGGAAGGAUCAUUACCGAGUGAGGGCCCUUUGGGUCCAACCUCCCACCCGUGUUUAUUUUACCUUGUUGCUUCGGCGGGCCCGCCUUUACUGGCCGCCGGGGGGCUCACGCCCCCGGGUCCGCGCCCGCCGAAGACACCCUCGAACUCUGUCUGAAGAUUGAAGUCUGAGUGAAAAUAUAAAUUAUUUAAAACUUUCAACAACGGAUCUCUUGGUUCCGGCAUCGAUGAAGAACGCAGCGAAAUGCGAUACGUAAUGUGAAUUGCAAAUUCAGUGAAUCAUCGAGUCUUUGAACGCACAUUGCGCCCCCUGGUAUUCCGGGGGGCAUGCCUGUCCGAGCGUCAUUGCUGCCCUCAAGCCCGGCUUGUGUGUUGGGCCCCGUCCUCCGAUUCCGGGGGACGGGCCCGAAAGGCAGCGGCGGCACCGCGUCCGGUCCUCGAGCGUAUGGGGCUUUGUCACCCGCUCCGUAGGCCCGGCCGGCGCUUGCCGAUCAACCCAAAUUUUUAUCCAGGUUGACCUCGGAUCAGGUAGGGAUACCCGCUGAACCUAAGCAUAUCA
rnacentral:misc_RNA from 1 species